GGUCAAGGAAGUAAGGGCAUAUGGCGAAUGCCUUGGCAUCAGGCGGCGACGAAGGACGCGGCAGGCUGCGAAAAGCCACGGGGAGUUGCGAGCAAACAUUGAUCCGUGGGUCUCCGAAUGGGGAAACCUAGCCCGAGUAAAAUCGGGCUAUCAUACGCUGAAUACAUAGGCAUAUGAGGCGAACCUUCCGAAGUGAAACAUCUCAGUAGGAAGAGGAAGAGAAAUCAACCGAGAUUCCCUUAGUAGUGGCGAGCGAAGGGGGAAGAGCCCAAAUCCCCCAUGCCUUCGCAAGAAAGCAUGGGGGAGGUUGUAGGACCGCGAAAGUACCAUUAUAUGCUUAUAGCUGAACUGGCAUGGAAAGGCUGACCAUAGAAGGUGAUAGUCCUUGUAAGCGAAAUAGGCAUAUAAGGGAAGCGGUAUCCUGAGUACCACAGGACACGUGAAAUCCCGUGGGAAGCUGGGGGGACCGCCCUCCAAGGCUAAACACGUCCUGAUGACCGAUAGUGCACAAGUACCGUGAGGGAAAGGUGAAAAGAACCCCGGUGAGGGGAGUGAAAUAGAACCUGAAACCAUAUGUCUACAAGCAAUCGGAGCCCUAUUCUUGCUUUCGCAAGAAAGCAGUGGGGGGCGACGGUGUGCCUUUUGAUUAAUGCGCCGGCGAGUUACUGAGUAUAGCGAGGUUAAGGUCUUAAGGACCGAAGCCGCAGGGAAACCGAGUCCUAACAGGGCGAUUUAGUUGUAUUCAGUAGACCCGAAGCCAGGUGAUCUACCCAUGGUCAGGGUGAAAUGUCGAGAAGUCGGCAUGGAGGCCCGAACCGGUGUUUGUUGCAAAAAGCUCGGAUGAACUGUGGGUAGGAGUGAAAGGCUAAUCAAACCUGGUGAUAGCUGGUUCUCCCCGAAAUGUAUUGAGGUACAGCCUCAUGUAUACCUUAGGGAGGUAGGGCACUGGAUGGGCUAGGGGUCGGUAACGGCUACUAAACCCAACUAAACCGCGAAUGCCUUAAGGCUAAACAUGGGAGUGAGACUACGGGUGCUAAGAUUCGUGGUCAAGAGGGAAACAGCCCAGAACAUCAGCUAAGGUCCCUAAGAUAGAGCUAAGUGGGGAAGGAUGUGAAGUUGCUAAAACAGCCAGGAGGUUUGCUUAGAAGCAGCAAUCCUUUAAAGAAAGCGUAACAGCUCACUGGUCAAGCGACUUUGCGCCGAAAAUUCAACGGGGCUUAAGCUCUACACCGAAGCUAUGUCCCUGCAUCAUCUAGUGCAGGGGGUAGGGGAGCAUUCUGCUAACCUGUGAAGGUGAGGCGCAAGCCUUGCUGGAGGAGGCGGAAGAGAUGAUGCCGGCAUAAGUAGCGUAAAUGCCGAUGAAAAAUCGGCACGCCGUAAACCUAAGGUUUCCUGGGGAAGGUCAAUCCGCCCAGGGUAAGUCGGUCCUAAGCCGAGUCCGAAAGGGGUAGGCGAUGGAUAACUGGUUAAUAUUCCAGUACCAGCUAUGAUGCGUUUGACCGAAGGGGAGACGCAGGAGGAUAGGCACAGCCGGGUAGUGGUUGUCCCGGUAAAAGCCUGUAAGGUGGUGGACAGGAAAAUCCGUUCACUGUUAACCUGAAAGGUGACUUGGAUCCCGAGUAAUCGGGAAAACUGGCUGAUUCCACACUGCCGAGAAAAUCCUCUAAGGGAGCAUCAUGGAUGACCGUACCGCAAACCGACACUGGUAGGUGGGUAGAAGAUACCAAGGCGAACGGGUGAACCCUCGCAAAGGAACUAGGCAAAAUUGCCCCGUAACUUCGGGAGAAGGGGUGUCCCGAGCAAUCGGGAUUUCAAUAAAGAGGCUCAAGCGACUGUUUAGCAAAAACACAGGUGUCUGCUAACUGGAAACAGGAUGUAUAGACACUGACGCCUGCCCGGUGCCGGAAGGUUAACAGGAGAGGUCAUCCCGAGCAAUCAGGAGAAGCCUCAAAUCGAAGCCCCGGUAAACGGCGGCCGUAACUAUAACGGUCCUAAGGUAGCGAAAUUCCUUGUCGGGUAAGUUCCGACCCGCAUGAAUGGCGUAACGACUUGAGCGCUGUCUCUGCGAGGGGCCCGGCGAACUUGAGAUACCGGUGAAGACGCCGGUUGCCUGCGACUAGACGGAAAGACCCUGUGCACCUUUACUACAACUUGGCAGUGAAUCUUGGUGAAGCAUGUGUAGGAUAGGUGGGAGGCUAAGAAGUCCUGACGCCAGUUGGGAUGGAGCCAACCUUGAAAUACCACCCUUGUUUUACUGGGAUUCUAACUCAUCCUGCUCACCGCGGGAGAGGACACUGCCUGGUGGGUAGUUUGACUGGGGCGGUCACCUCCCAAAAAGUAACGGAGGUGUCCAAAGGUCUCCUCAGGCUGGUCGGAAAUCAGCCGCUGAGUGCAAAGGCAUAAGGAGGCUUAACUGUGAGGCAGACAAGCCGAGCAGAUGGGAAACCAGGGCUUAGUGAUCCGGUGGUUCCAUGUGGAAGGGCCAUCGCUCAACGGAUAAAAGGUACGCCGGGGAUAACAGGCUUAUCGGGUCCAAGAGUUCACAUCGACGACCCGGUUUGGCACCUCGAUGUCGACUCAUCGCAUCCUGGGGCUGAAGUAGGUCCCAAGGGUUGGGCUGUUCGCCCAUUAAAGCGGUACGAGAGUUGGGUUCAGAACGUCGUGAGACAGUUCGGUCCCUAUCUGUCGUGGGCGCAGGAGACUUGAGGGGAGCCAUCCUCAGUACGAGAGGACCAGGAUGGACGGACCUCUGGUGUGUGGGUUGUUCUGCCAAGGGCAGUGCCCAGUAGCUAUGUUCGGAUGGGAUAACCGCUGAAGGCAUCUAAGCGGGAAACCCACCCCAAGAUUAGGUCUCCCUGCCGAGAAAUCGGCACUAAAGGUCUGUGGUAGACUACCACGUUAAUAGGCUGGGUGUGUAAGUCCGGUAACGGAUUAAGCUAACCAGUACUAAUAGACCGUGUGCCUUGACCCUCCUUUUCU
rnacentral:rRNA from 1 species